GGACUGGAGUCUGCAACCCGACUCCACGAAGCUGGAUUCGCUAGUAAUCGCGCAUCAGCCACGGCGCGGUGAAUACGUUCCCGGGCCUUGUACACACCGCCCGUCAAGCCAUGGGAGCCGGGGGUACCUGAAGUGCGUAACCGCGAGGAUCGCCCUAGGGUAAAACUGGUGACUGGGGCUAAGUCGUAACAAGGUAUC
rnacentral:rRNA from 1 species